rnacentral:rRNA from 1 species
UACGUAGGUGGCAAGCGUUGUCCGGAUUUACUGGGCGUAAAGAGCUCGUAGGCGGCUUGUCACGUCGGGUGUGAAAGCCCGGGGCUUAACCCCGGGUCUGCAUUCGAUACGGGCAGGCUAGAGUGUGGUAGGGGAGAUCGGAAUUCCUGGUGUAGCGGUGAAAUGCGCAGAUAUCGGGAAGAACACCCGUGGCUAAGGCGGCUCUCUAGUACGGUACUGACGCUGAGACGCGAAAGCGUGGGGAGCGAACAGG